rnacentral:piRNA from 1 species
UACCUGCCAGCCAGACGCAGGAG